rnacentral:piRNA from 1 species
UCCAGAUAUUAUAAUCCCAAC